rnacentral:rRNA from 1 species
GUGGGGAAUUUUGGACAAUGGGCGCAAGCCUGAUCCAGCAAUGCCGCGUGCAGGAAGAAGGCCUUCGGGUUGUAAACUGCUUUUGUACGGAACGAAACGGCUCUGGUUAAUACCCGGGGCUAAUGACGGUACCGUAAGAAUAAGCACCGGCUAACUACGUGCCAGCAGCCGCGGUAAUACGUAGGGUGCAAGCGUUAAUCGGAAUUACUGGGCGUAAAGCGUGCGCAGGCGGUGCUGUAAGACAGGCGUGAAAUCCCCGGGCUCAACCUGGGAAUUGCGCUUGUGACUGCAGUGCUGGAGUGCGGCAGAGGGGGAUGGAAUUCCGCGUGUAGCAGUGAAAUGCGUAGAUAUGCGGAGGAACACCGAUGGCGAAGGCAAUCCCCUGGGCCUGCACUGACGCUCAUGCACGAAAGCGUGGGGAGCAAACAGGAUUAGAAACCCGUGUAGUCC